rnacentral:rRNA from 1 species
GAUGAACGCUAGCGGCAGGCUUAACACAUGCAAGUCGAGGGGCAGCAUGAUAGGUAGCAAUACUUAUUGAUGGCGACCGGCGCAAGGGUGCGUAACGCGUGAGUAACAUGCCCGUAUCAGGAGGAUAACCCGGAGAAAUCCGGACUAAUACUGCAUAAUAUCGAUUUGAGGCAUCUUGGAUUGAUUAAAGUUUCGACGGAUACGGAUUGGCUCGCGUGACAUUAGCUAGAUGGUAAGGUAACGGCUUACCAUGGCGACGAUGUCUAGGGGUUCUGAGAGGAAGGUCCCCCANACUGGAACUGAGACACGGUCCAGACUCCUACGGGAGGCAGCAGUGAGGAAUAUUGGACAAUGGAUGGAAAUCUGAUCCAGCCAUGCCGCGUGAAGGAAUACGGUCCUAUGGAUUUUAAACUCUUUUGUAUGGGAGCAAUAAGGUGUACGCGUACAUCGAUGAGAGUACCAUACGAAUAAGC